AACUCAAGAAAUGUUUGCUAUUUCGCUGUCGUCAUGCAGUCGUUAUAAUGCAAACUUUAAAUUGGACCAAUCAGUGUCCGCUUUUCGUGACAGUCCGCCAUAUUUUUGAGAUCAGUGAGGAUGACCACCCACCCAACACCGUUGGUGACCCACGCCCGCGAUAUUUGAUGAACUUUAGACUCCGCUAAAACCACUGAGCUAUACUAUAUUACUGGAGGAAGUGCUCGGCAAAAAAAGUGUCCGCAAAAACAUGGCGGAUUUUCGCGCCAUAUGACGCCAUUUCCAUGACAACUGGUUCCUCCGGCUCAUGAAAUUACCACUGACCAGGCUCAAUUCUGAGCCCGCUACAAUUUUCACCCCCCCCCCCUGGUUUUAUCAAAAAUAUUUUUGCUUUUCGACGUUUUUGCAGUAAAUUCUCGUUGUUUUUUUUAUAUUUUUUCGACUUUUGACCAUUGGUUCCAAGAUUUAAAAGUCGUACACACUAUUCUCACCCGCGAAAGACAAAAAACCGAUAUGAAAACCCCGAAAAAUUUAGGCAAAGACGAUAUUUGAUGGCACAGCUAUUCAGGUAAAUUUUCA